AGGAGAGUUUUAGUAGCUGUAAAUGGGGCUACUGUCUGGCCCUAUUAUCUAGGGUCUCAGCCUCUCAGCUGACUAGCUGCACGCAAAGGCCUGACAAUCCGUAUCUCCCACAGAUGGAAGAUUGCAUGGCAGUCUGUAAGAUCGGAAGUCAAAAGCUGUCUGUGGGAGUAGACAGGCUUGCAAAGUGAAAAGGUACCCCAAAAGGUACAAGGUUGGGUUUCAGCCGAGCCAGUCUGAGCCCCUUUCCCGCGCCCUCUGGUGGGAGGUGUUCGCUUUUCUGCACACCCGUGUGAAGGAUUCACCGGCCCUCCUCGGGUGGCCGUUACUUUACAGGAGCAAAGCAAGGUACGGGACGUUGUUCCCUCUUUUCUGUUUCUUCCUUUUCUUUCUCCUCCGCCCCCUCCCCGCCUCCACAUUCCUCCCUCU
rnacentral:lncRNA from 1 species